CGAAAAAAGCGGUGCAGAAGACAGAGAGGAGAGAAAUUCUGGGCACACGCGAGACAACAACACUUAAAGGGGUUCCACACGGAUGGAUUGAAUCCAUUGUUCUACUGAAGUGUCCUGGUUCGAGCCAAGAACGUCUGGCACUUUGAAGAGGCUGCACCGUGGAGAGGGAAACGUCGGACAAAGUCGUGCCGAACCAGCGAGGGAUACGAACUGACAACAACAAACACAUCGGAUAGCCGUAGGGCACAACUGGGGGGGGGGGGGGG